GGAGUCUCUGAAGGAUUGCAACUCAUCCGCUUCAAGGAAGGGGUCUUCUAGUGAUUUAACCUCCUGAUUCUACAGAGGGUCUGUAGAUAGAAGCACAUUCUCUGUAGCUCCUGGCUGCAUCUGACCAGCAGUAGAAAAUCCAAUUGUACUGGAAGGCAAAGGGAACACAAGGGCAUAGGAAGAAGUUGUGAUACCAGCUGUGCAUUGAGUUGGCAAGCUUCCCCAGCAGCCUUCACUUGACAUGAAAUCUGCCAUGCCUCGAUGGACAUCUGAAAGGAGAGUGAGGUCCCAGAGAUGCUGCUUAUGAAUUCAGGCAGCAUUAUAUGAAGAUGAGAAAUGUAUAAACAGCAGAGAUGCUGGAGGUCUGUGUCCCCAGUCAAACAGGUACAAACAAGACUAUGGAAUUAGAUAUAUGUAACAGCUCAUCUGCAGAGAAAUAUCCCCUACAAGGCAGGAGGAUGGUGCUUCUAAUCACACGGCCAAAGUGCAAUGUUGUGAGACUGAAAUGGACAACCGAACCAUAUGAUCAGCCUUCUUUUAUGAGAACACUAUGUCAGUCAGUCAGUUUAUGACCUGAAAUUGGAUGGGAAAAGUCUGAUCCUGGCCCUGCUGAAUGCAAAGAGUUUCAUUUUGCCGUUCUGUUUAGGAGAUACAGCUUUGGAGCUCCUGUCGUCGCAUCCUCGACCUUUUGUGUGUCAUUACCUUGAGACUGAAGUUUUGCUGUCCCUCCCCCCUCCUGCUGGGAGCUGAGCAGAGCAGCACUGCGGGCACCCAGUGCCCAGGUCCUUCCUGUGUCAGAGGCCUCUGUGGGCUCAGCACAUCUUUGCAGCAGCAACCGAGGGUCCCUCAGCACCAGCUCUGGAGGACACUGCCACCCCUGUGCCUUCUCUAAAGCCACUGUAACCCCAGCUACGCAGACUCUGAUGCUCUCUCAGCACACCUUCUGGGCUGCCGGAGCUCUGGUGCUUGUCACUGACUGAUGCCACAGAUGUGCUGCUAUAUCUAACAGCAGUUGUCUUCU